rnacentral:RNase_P_RNA from 1 species
CCAGAGGGUCGAGCGACCGCGGGUGCGAUUGCACGCGAGGAAAGUCCGGGCUCCACGGAAACGACGGUGCCGGAUAACGUCCGGCGGCUCGCGCGCAGGCGCGGGUCAGGGAAAGUGCCACAGAGAGCAGACCGCCGAUGCUUGCCCCCGGGCAAGACAGGCAAGGGUGAAAGGGUGCGGUAAGAGCGCACCGCGCGACCGGCAACGGAAGCGGCAUGGCAAACCCCACCGGGAGCAAGACCGAAUAGGGGCGGCACGAGAUGUAUCUCAGGGCUUCGUUCCGGCCCGCCGCCCGGGUUGGUUGCUUGAGCCCCGGAGCAAUCCGGGGCCUAGAGGAAUGGUCGCUCAUCCGCCCGAAGGGGCGGUGGACAGAACCCGGCUUACAGACCCUCUGGCAUU